UCUAUGAUGGUAUACUUAGUAUCUUUCCAUGUGAAAUACUGAGUAUAGCAAUAAUGUUUCUCUUGACAAAGUGCUGGUUCAGCAAGGACUCUACCUGGGUGUCUGGUGGUGCAGUGGGUUCAAACAGGCCCAGGCUGGGAGAGGAUGUUCUGAAGGACUGAUGGAUGCCCCAUCUUCAGAGCUAACUUAUUGAUCCACAAUGAUUUAAGCAAGUCAUCUGACUCAGUUCUUCUGGAAUAUAAACACGGCAAACCCCACGUAAUCACAACGAUGAGGUAAGAGAGGAAGGGCCGUUGACCCAAGGAAAUAAUGCUGAGCUGUCUUCUCUGUGGCCUAUCACUCUUCAGCUUCCAG